GCCUCAGCAACGUGGUUUUAAAAUGAGAAGCACACCGGAUUACUCUGUGUAGGUGGUGGAGUGGGAGGAGGUGAAAUGCAAGCUUUAUUUUCCCGACUGCUUGUCAUCCAAUUCCCCACUUCCCUCUGACUUUCAUGAGUGAUGAGGUCAUCCCGGCGCAGGAAAAUCAAACUCCUAUUUUUCAAACCCAAUAAAGGCCCGCAUUGUAUCCUGCGUAAACAGAGGCCAGACGGGUAGGGUGGCAGGAACACGAGCGGCCCGCCCCCUGGCGGUCGCCUGAGGCAGUCGAGCCCUGCACUCCACCAAACUGCGACAGGGAGGCGGAGAGGCUGCGAGCUAAAACGACGCAGAGAUCCAUUACAGCCGCGGCAGGGGAGAGGAUGCUGCAAGGAGAUGAUGCACGCCACAGUACAGCCUCGCUGGCUGGUCCCGGCUUCAUCCGGCCUCAGAUCCGCGUGGGAACUCCCUUUCAGAAGAUCUUCUCAAAGCUGCCCUGUUGGCACAGCUCCAGUUUCAGCUCAGAUAUCAGAGAUAUCAGAGACCUUAACUGACCGCCCUCUGCUCCUCCAGAACUCAGGAUCACAUCACCUUGUUUUCUGUUCAACACAGCAGUUAACUGGAAUUGGACUGUUUAUCCUUUUUCAUGUAUCAGAAGUUGGCCCCAGGAAAACAGGCUCCCUAUCUUUCUUGUUCACUCCUGUCUCUUUGGGUUGUAGAACAGUACCUGGUCCACAGCUGGUAUUCAGGAUACAGUUAUUGUAUAAAUUAUUUGAUGUGAUUUCCUGA
rnacentral:lncRNA from 1 species